rnacentral:sRNA from 1 species
AUUUUGCGUUGUCUGGGCUCGGCGGCAGCCGGGCUCGGAGUGGACGUGCCACUAUGGGGUCGUCCAAGAAGCAUCGCGGAGAGAAGGAGGCGGCCGGGACGACGGCGGCAGCCGGCACUGGGGGCGCCACCGAGCAGCCGCCGCGGCACCGGGAACACAAAAAACACAAGCAUCGGAGUGGCGGCAGUGGCGGUAGCGGUGGCGAACGACGGAAGCGGAGCCGGGAACGUGGGGGCGAGCGCGGGAGCGGGCGGCGCGGGGCCGAAGCUGAGGCCCGGAGCAGCACGCACGGGCGGGAGCGCAGCCAGGCAGAGCCCUCGGAGCGGCGCGUGAAGCGCGAGAAGCGCGAUGACGGCUACGAGGCCGCUAGAGCCAACGAUGCUGGCUUCUUGGCCCUGUGUUCAGCUCCUGAGCCAUGCUUCUUCUUGUUCCAGCUGCCAGCUCCAAAACUAGCUCAGGCGAUGCCUCCUCACUCAGCAUCGAGGAGACUAAGUGAGUACUGUCUCCCUUGCUUCUACUUUGUUUUUCUAAGAGAGGUGGCUCUGGGGCCAGCACGGGGGAGGCUUUCUCACAUGAAAGUGUGCUAAUCGGAGUUGGAAAGAUUGUUUAAAUCAUCUUAGCCAACAGUUGAGUUAUAGAAGAGAAAACUAAAACCUAAGAGUAAGGUGGCAUUCACUGGUUAGACGCAGACCAGGCUGGCGCCCAUGGUUCCUGCUUUGGAGGCCAGGACCCUUCCCAGUGUCCUAGGCUGCCUGGGGCCGACUGUGUGUUUGGGACCACUCACUCCCACCCUGUUUCUCCUCCUGUCUGUCUGGAAAUGCACAUGGCGCCCUGUGUCUUUGAUAGCCCCUAACACUUGUAUCUCUUGUUCUC